ACACACACACACACACACACACAAUGGAGUAUUACUCAACCUUAAAAAAAAGAUCUUGCCAUCUGCAAUAACACGGAAGGACCCAGCUAGAGAAGAGAGAGCAUGUCGGAGAAGAGAGAGAAAGAAUCCCAAACAGGUUCCACACUCAGUGCAGAGCCCGAUGAGGGCUUGAACCCACGAACUGUAAGAUCAUGACCUGAGCUGAAAUCAAGAGUUGGAUGCUUAACUGACUGAGCCAGCCAGGCACCCCCAAAAAUAUGUUUUUAAGUAUUUCAAAGACUCUGGAAAAAAGUCUUGUUUUCUUUAAACAUAUGAAGUUACUAUUUCAUUAUGAUAUAAUAAAAUUUCACUUUAUGUCAUAAAA